AGAUCCAUGUGAGUAGAUGCACUGUGGACCUCACAGGCUGUGUGUAAAGAAGGACGGAAAGCCUGUCUUUGCUUCAGAGUCUAACAUCUGCUCUGUAUAAGGGAUUCUUACUACCGCACCUUCGUCGGUAGUAACACUUUGCCGUGAUUGUGGCUAGUAUAUGUCCAUACUGUCUUGCUUUUGCAGAUCAAUAGUCAGCAGAGGAACCUGCCCCUAGCCCUGGCCGCCGGCUCUCUGCCUUUAAACCCUAGCAGCUCCAGCGUUGUCUUGGAAACAGACUUUGGCCUGAUGCUGCGGUAUGACUGGCAUCACAACCUUGAAUUGGAAGUGGCACCGGAGCUGUCUGGUUCACUGUGUGUUCUCUGUGGAAACUACAGCCACAAUGCAACUAAUGACUUUGCCACCCCUGAUGGAACUGUGGCGGCUGUGGACUUCGCGCUUCGCUGGAAAGUGGACUGCGGCGCCUCAUGUCCUGUGUGCAGUACAGGCCAAGUGAACUCUAAACCUACAUUGGGUUCGGUUUCAGGCUGCUGCAGAGCCACGUCCAUGUUGUUCCUGAACAGGACGUCUGCAGCUGCAAGGCUGACCAAUGUGCUGCUGAUGGAGCUCCUUCUGCUGUCUGUAGGUCGAUGCAGGUAUACUCUGACAUAUGUCAGAGGCCGGCUACCUCCCAGUGAAAGGACGGCUAUCUGCUCAGUGGCAGCCAUUGUGUCCCAGACAGCAGGUGUGGCUGCAGCCAUCAAGGUCUCUACUACCUCCCCAAGGAGAUGUUCUGGAUGGACCGCCAGUGUCGGAAGCAGUGCACCUGCCAGCCUUCCUCCAAGAAUGUCACCUGUGUCCAGGCCCAGUGUCAGGAGGACAAGGUGUGCAAGAUUCUGGCUGGGCUGCCAUAAGGAAGGGCUUAGGGUGUGCACAGCUCAAGGGGAUCGGCAUUACACCAUUUUUGACGGGAACAGGUGUGUCUUCCAAGGCACCUGUGCGUACCAGCUGGUGAGGCACUUCCCUAGCUCGGGAGACCUGCCUGGUUUCAGUGUGGUGACACAGAACAUGAGGAGGACGACACCAACACUUCUUAUUCCAGAAGGGUCAAUAUUUUGAUUCAUGGUUACUCUAUUGAGAUCUCUCAUUACUGGGAUGAAGUAGUUGUGGUCAAUGGGAUUAUUUUGAGCCUUCCCUCAGUGUUGAGCCAAGGUAAAGUGAAGAGCUCUCCACGUGUAUUGAGACUGUCUUUGGUGUCCUGGUCACAUACAACUGGAACCUCCUGACUGUCCAAGUGCCCAGGGUCUUCUCUGGCUCACUCUAUGGCCUGUGUGGGAACUUCAACGCGGACCCAGAGGACUAUCUAACAGACGACGGGGACAUCUAUGGCUGUGAGGCGCUGGAAAACUAGUAACGUUGUUGAAUGUGUGGAUGUGACGACAAUGAACAAUCCCCAAUGCCCCAUCAGGAACAGGCUCUCUAUUUAGGCAGGGACUACUGAGGGAGUGUUCCAGAACUGCCACGGGAUGGUCAACCCCAAACGCUGCCUUUGACAACUGUCUACGACCUCUGCUACAACAAUGACAAGCAGAAUGCCCUGUGUCAGAUUCUCUCAAGUUACACCGCUGCUUGCCAGGAGGAAGGGGCAAACAUAGAUGAAUGGAGGCUUCAGAUUAUUGUGGUCUGUCCUGUCCAGCCAACAUUGAAUACAACCUGUGCUCCAUCCCUGUGCCCAACAAUUGUGUGGCGUCUCGUGUAAACCUGGGUUCUUCCAUAGUGGUGUGUCCCCAACACUGAGUGCGGCUGCCUCUGACGGUUUGUGCCACAAGAUCAAGGCAGUGUUUUACGCCCAUGAUCAUUGCCAGGUUGCUUCUCUUGUCGGUCAUGGCUAGCUACCAUGCACUGACACCACCUGUUCCAGUGGAACAGAGUGUAGGAUCCAAAAUGGACCCUGUGACUGCUAUCCAGCGCCAGUUUCAGGGAAGUGCAAAGUGGUGGGAGGCAGGCACUUGGACCUAUGAUGGGCAUAGCUUUGAUCUCCAUAUGGGCAUAUCAAGAAGCCCCCAUUUCCUAAACCAGACAUAUGCCAAGAAUGGAGCAGAUACAUUUUCAUAUAUACAGCAAGGGCAGCUACACCUGAGGUACAAGGGACUGAAUGACUGUGGAACUGCAGCAGAGGGGGAUGGUUGAGGUGUGUUUUAUAGUAGCGGCCUUUAUCCUAAUGAUAGUAUUCGUCUUGAGCUAUAAUAAAUCUGUUUAAAUGUUGAUGUGAUGUUUCAGGUCUGACCUUUGUCUCAAGGUGAAAAGGGCUUCCUGGAACCUUCCGGUCCACCAGGAGAGUAACAUUGCUAUGCUUUCUGGUCUGACAACACAGGUGGAAAUGGACAAUGGGGCAGUGAUCACGUACAGUGGACCUGACUUCAUACAGCUGUUAUCUCCUCCUGCCUACGCUGGUAAGGCAUGUGGGUGGUGUUGAAACUUCAACAGCACUGCUACAGAUGACACUCAGAUGGUCCGUGACGUUUUCCUGUCUGGGGUCAUCUGCCCAGAGUGUAACUGGACCUUGGCGGCUGAGUUCAAGUUGGAGCAUUUCUGUGGAGUCCUCUCAGCUCCUGCUGGCCUAUUCAGAGACUGCCACGCCACGGUAGACCCACAACCUUUCUUGGACAACUGUGUAAAGGCCCCUGUGUGUGUCUUGAAGGGAUAUGGCAAAGUACUGUGGCAGCCUGAAGGAUUAUUGGGGCGGCAGGGUAGCCUAGUGUUUAGAGCGUUGGACUAGUAACCGAAAGGUUGCAAGUUUGAAUCCCCGAGCUGACUAGGUACAAAUCUGUCGUUCUGCUCCUGAACAGGCAGUUAACCCACUGUUACUAGGCCGUCAUUGAAAAUAAGAAUUUGUUCUUAACUGACUUGCCUAGUUAAAUAAAGGUAGAAAAAAAAUCUAUGUUUGUAUUUUAUGAAGCCGCAGCCAAGGUCUAGCCAUGGAGGGGAGACGAAUGCUGUAAGUGGAUGAUGCAAGAUCCUUUCUGGCUUAAAACUGAAUUCAACAUGUAUUAUGUUUACAAAGACAAAAUGUCUUUCCCCUCCAUACAGCCAUGUCAUGCCCAGUGAACUCUCACUACAAGGUGUGUACCAAUGCCUGCCCUGAAACCUGUGCCAAUACUUCUGGUUUGGUCACCAGUCCUUCGACUUGUGUGGAUGGGUGCCAGUGUGAGGCUGGGUAAUGUGCUCAGUCAUGAUCACUGUGUCAAGCCUGUGCAGGGUGGCUGAUUCCAGACUGGAUGCUAUUAUGAGGUGUGUGUGUGGAACUGGCAGAAGCAACGGUUUAAUGGUUCAGUCAGACUGGCUUUUGUAUUGUACUCCCAAAUUACUCUAUGUGUAGCUGGUUUGUUUCCAAUCCCAAACUAUACUGAACAAAAAUAUAAACGCAACAUACAAGAAUGUCAAAGAUUUUACUGAGUUACAGUUAAAUUGAAAUAAAAUGAAAUAGGCCCUAAUCUAUGAAUUUCACAUGACUGGGAAGGGGGGUAGCCAUGAGUGAGCCAUAGGCCCACCCACUUGGGAGCCAGGCCCAGCUAAUCAGAAUUAGCUUUUCCUCACAAAAGUGCUUUAUUACAGAAAGAAAUUCUCCUCAGUUUAAUCAGCUGUCUGGGUGUCUAGUCUCAGAUGGAUGUGGAGGUCCUGGGCUGGCAUGGUUACAUGUGGUCUGAGAUUGUGAGGCCGGUUGGACGUACUGACACAUUUUCUGAAAUGAAGUUGGAGGCAGCUUAUGGUAGAGAAAUUAACAUCACAUUCUCUGGCAACAGCUCUGGUGGACAUUCCUGCAAUCAGCAUGCCAAUUCCAUGCUCCCUCUACAAACAUCUGUGGCAUUGUGUUGUGACAAAACUGCAUGUUUUAGUGGCCUUUUAUUGUCCCCAGCACAAGGUGAACCUGUUUCAUGCUGUUUAAUCAGCUUCUUAAUGUGCCACACCUGUCAGGUGGAUGGCUUAUCUUGGCAAAGAAGAACUGCUCACUAACAGGGAUGUAAACACAUGUUUUCACAAUCUGAGAGAAACAAGCUUUUUGUGCAUAUAGAACAUUUCUGGGAUCUUUUUUUCAGCUCAUGAAACAUGGGACCAACACUUUACAUGUUGCGUUUAUAUUUCUGUCCAAUAUGUAUUUUCUGGGUUGUAGUCAUUGGUGCAUUUCCAAACCUUUCCAAAAUGACCAGAUCAUUUGACUGUUUUAUCAUGUUCCAAGACUAGAGGUUUGAUUACUCUGAGAGUGUAGUCAGUAAUGACACAUUGUCACAUUUAUUAUGACACAUUAUUUAUCAUCAAUUCCCAAACCUGAAUUUAUGCAGCUGUAAUCCCUGACAUGUUGCCACAACUACACCACAGAUCAAAAUGUGCCGUGCUUCAUUUAGACCAGGC
ensembl:lncRNA